AGAGUUUGAUUCUGGCUCAGAACGAACGCUGGCGGCGUGGAUAAGACAUGCAAGUCGAACGAGAGAAUUGCUAGCUUGCUAAUAAUUCUCUAGUGGCGCACGGGUGAGUAACACGUGAGUAACCUGCCCCCGAGAGCGGGAUAGCCCUGGGAAACUGGGAUUAAUACCGCAUAGAAUCGCAAGAUUAAAGCAGCAAUGCGCUUGGGGAUGGGCUCGCGGCCUAUUAGUUAGUUGGUGAGGUAACGGCUCACCAAGGCGAUGACGGGUAGCCGGUCUGAGAGGAUGACCGGCCACACUGGAACUGAGACACGGUCCAGACACCUACGGGUGGCAGCAGUCGAGAAUCAUUCACAAUGGGGGAAACCCUGAUGGUGCGACGCCGCGUGGGGGAAUGAAGGUCUUCGGAUUGUAAACCCCUGUCAUGUGGGAGCAAAUUAAAAAGAUAGUACCACAAGAGGAAGAGACGGCUAACUCUGUGCCAGCAGCCGCGGUAAUACAGAGGUCUCAAGCGUUGUUCGGAAUCACUGGGCGUAAAGCGUGCGUAGGCUGUUUCGUAAGUCGUGUGUGAAAGGCGCGGGCUCAACCCGCGGACGGCACAUGAUACUGCGAGACUAGAGUAAUGGAGGGGGAACCGGAAUUCUCGGUGUAGCAGUGAAAUGCGUAGAUAUCGAGAGGAACACUCGUGGCGAAGGCGGGUUCCUGGACAUUAACUGACGCUGAGGCACGAAGGCCAGGGGAGCGAAAGGGAUUAGAUACCCCUGUAGUCCUGGCAGUAAACGGUGCACGCUUGGUGUGCGGGGAAUCGACCCCCUGCGUGCCGGAGCUAACGCGUUAAGCGUGCCGCCUGGGGAGUACGGUCGCAAGAUUAAAACUCAAAGAAAUUGACGGGGACCCGCACAAGCGGUGGAGUAUGUGGUUUAAUUCGAUGCAACGCGAAGAACCUUACCUAGGUUUGACAUCUGGGGAAUCCUCCCGAAAAGGAGGAGUGCCCUUCGGGGAACCCCAAGACAGGUGCUGCAUGGCUGUCGUCAGCUCGUGUCGUGAGAUGUUGGGUUAAGUCCCGCAACGAGCGCAACCCCUAUGCAUAGUUGCCAGCAGGUAAAGCUGGGCACUCUAUGCAGACUGCCCGGGUUAACCGGGAGGAAGGUGGGGACGACGUCAAGUCAUCAUGGCCCUUACACCUAGGGCUACACACGUACUACAAUGGCACGCACAAAGGGCAGCGAUACCGUGAGGUGGAGCCAAUCCCAAAAAACGUGUCCCAGUCCGGAUUGCAGUCUGCAACUCGACUGCAUGAAGUCGGAAUCGCUAGUAAUUCGAGGUCAGCAUACUCGGGUGAAUGCGUUCCCGGGCCUUGUACACACCGCCCGUCACACCACGAAAGUCGGUUUUACCCGAAGCCGGUGAGCCAACUAGCAAUAGAGGCAGCCGUCUACGGUAGGGCCGAUGAUUGGGGUGAAGUCGUAACAAGGUAGCCGUAGGGGAACCUGCGGCUG
rnacentral:rRNA from 1 species